AAGGAGUCAGUGCUGUGAGGAGAUGCACAUGAGAAAUCACCUGGAAGAUAUGGAAGAUUUACAAUAAGAUGACAACAGAUAGCCAGCUCUCCAGAAGCCCUUAAAAAAUAGCCACACCACUAACAAACAAAAAAACCUCCAAACUUCCUAAAUCACUCACAGUUGCUCCCAUUUUUAACCCAGCCUUACCCAUCAUCUAGCUAGAGCACGUCUUGACAGCUUAUCCUUCUGACAACAUAACCAUACAGCAGGAGCAGAAAAGACAGGAAUCAAUUAACAUAUGGGCAGAAAUAACUUUUUAGAAACAAAUUUUCAUUUGUUCCAGAAAUUUCACAUGUUAUCAUUCAGCUACUGCUCAAUAUCCUGCUCACCUCCCCCUCCAUGCCAGUGUGAGCAGCAGCUGGGGUACAGAUCUCUGAGGUAAUGCACACAGGGCUGCUUUGGAGCUGUCAUUCCUGAUUAAAAUCUGCAUGUGGAUCUCACUCCUGCAAGGCUGGAUCUCUCUCCAGGAAUGCCACGAGUCCGCAUAAAACCUCUCCAUAGAACAAAAAGAAAUAAAAUUAAAUGCUGCAGCUCUUUUUGUUCAUCUGGCUCAGCAAUGAAUAUUUAAAUAUAAAAUGUUUGUUAUCACUUAACAGGUCAGCUCUCUG